AAGAUACUCCCUGUGUCCGAAAUUAUUUGUCAAAUAAACAUAUGUAUAUAGACGUAUUUUAGUUUUAAAUACAUCCAUUGUUAUCCAUUUUGGCGACAAGUAAUUCUGGAUGGAGAGAGUAUAUA
rfam:Hordeum vulgare subsp. vulgare, WGS project CAJW01000000 data, contig: morex_contig_137760